rnacentral:rRNA from 1 species
UACAGAGGUCCCGAGCGUUGUUCGGAUUCACUGGGCGUAAAGGGCGCGCAGGCGGCCGCAUUUGUCAGGCGUGAAAGCCCCGGGCUUAACCUGGGAACUGCGUUUGAUACGGUGUGGCUAGAGUUCGGGAGAGGAGAGUGGAAUUCCCAGUGUAGAGGUGAAAUUCGUAGAUAUUGGGAAGAACACCGGUGGCGAAGGCGGCUCUCUGGACCGAGACUGACGCUGAGGCGCGAAAGCUAGGGGAGCAAACGGG